rnacentral:rRNA from 1 species
CACACCGCCCGUCAAGCCACGAAAGCUGAGUGUGCCAGAAGUCGCUAGUCUAACCGCAAGGAGGGCGGCGCCCAAGGCAAACUCGGUGAUUGGGACU